GCCUGGGUGGCUUCGUCGGUUAAGCGUCUGAUUUCAGCUCAGGUCAUGGUCUCACAGUUCGUGGGUUCAAGCCCCCCGUCAGGCU
rfam:Felis catus isolate Cinnamon breed Abyssinian chromosome A1, whole genome shotgun sequence.